AAGGAGCAUUGCAAGGGUGAGGGCUGGCUGGAAUACAUGACUGGUUUUGCCAGUGGUGAGAGAUAAGGAUCCAUGGGUGUGGAGUCUCCUGCUGAUUCAGGAUUGGAGGAUCCCAGUGGUGGAGUAAGGCCUGAAGAUGUGUGGCAGGUCCUGUCUUGGAGGAAUGAAGUGAGAGCAGCCCCUGUCCUGGUUGAGGGGUGUUAUCUGGUGAAGGAGUGUAUUGGGAGAGUCAACUGUUACUGAAGAAGUUGCUUGUUCUGUGCUGUAAUUGACUGCGCCCUGGAGGUUUGGCUGAAUUCCUGCAUGGCUGUCUUUCUUGAAUGUGGUAGAACUUCCCCAGAUCUGAAGAUGGGUGUGCUAUCCUGAGAGGAGUGGCAUCGACUGUCUUGCAACAAACUUCUGGCCUCCUUUUCCAAGAUGAGUCUGCUGAGAAUUGUCUGGUUUCUGGCUAGGUAACUCAGGAGCAUGCAUCUCAGUGAAACCAUUUGCACUGAAUCUCAGUGAGCGAGUUCCUGGAAGCCUUCCUCCCAAACUGAGACUGAACUCCAGCUAAAAUGACAGUAAUAUGUUGUACUCUGCUUUUGUCUUUACCAAAAGACAUGGAACUUCACUAGGGUGGUGUCUUUGUGUUAAUUGUUUGCAUGUGGUAUAUUAGAUCUUUAUGUGGGAGUUUGCAGUUAUUAACUUUGCUUUUAAUUAAUGAUCCAGUUCUCCUGUUGUAUUUUAACCACAGCCCAGAUGUGCAGGAUAGAAAAUGCAGCAACUUACUGAUGAUACUACUCUCUGCCUGACUUCAACAGCAUCUCAGCAUGUUAUUAGGUUGACUAUUCAUGCAAGCAGGUAUCACUAGGAGCAACAGGUUAGUUGCCUGCAGGUAACAGGCUAUAGCUCUUUUCCAGAGGGUUGUCUAAAAUGUAUAUUAGUGAGAUGAGAGGAAAAGUUUAACAAAUACACAAACUCAGUGAAAUGUCUGUUGUGUGCAAAGUAAGAAUGCAGCCUAGGUUGGAAGGGACCUAUGACUUGUAGCUGUGUGUGAGCUUUUAAUACAUCUCCAAAGGCUGUGUCCGAAUGCUUCUCCAAGUCCAUCAGCCUGGGCCUGUGACUGCUGCCCUGUGGAGUUUGUUCUGGUACCUAAUUACCCUCUGGUGAAGGAACUUGUCAUGUUUUUCAGUGUGGCUUAAUAUACAUCCAAGUUCCUUGCCCUGGCCAGUUGCAGAAAAACUGAAGAGAACUUGCCCUGAAAUGAAGCUCUGUGGACUCUGACUCUCACGAGGAAGGGCAUUUCCUGACAUGGCUUGGUUUUUGGUCCUGCUUUCCUGACAAGGAUUUUUCAUACCUAUUCAAAUGGAUGAUUUGUACCUUGAACUAGACUGGAGGGGAAGACAUCUUGCUUUAGUAACCCAGACUUUCUCUUAAGCAGGAGGAUGUCACUGGAACACACAGGAACAGCUUAAAAACAGAAGAUUGAUUCAGUAACUGUUCUAUCUGCCUUGAUUGAAGUUGAUGAUGCAUCUGCAGUAGUGGAAUGUAAAAAGAAUGGUUUUCAAUCAGUAUAAAGUGUAUAGCUAGAAGUAAAGAUUUUUCACUCUCUGAAGUUGGGUCAUUUCACUAUUCACAUUUUCUGUCUGGUGCCAGGAUGAGUGUGUGCUUUCUAUCAUUAAUAACCUGAAUGGCUGGACAAGAAGUACCAUUUGCAGCAAUAAAGCCUAAAAGCAGCUAAAAAAACCCUUUCA
ensembl:lncRNA